GAUGAACGCUGGCGGCGUGCCUAAUACAUGCAAGUCGAGCGAACAGACGAGGAGCUUGCUCCUCUGACGUUAGCGGCGGACGGGUGAGUAACACGUGGAUAACCUACCUAUAAGACUGGGAUAAUUUCGGGAAACCGGAGCUAAUACCGGAUAAUAUAUUGAACCGCAUGGUUCAAUAGUGAAAGACGGUUUUGCUGUCACUUAUAGAUGGAUCCGCGCCGCAUUAGCUAGUUGGUAAGGUAACGGCUUACCAAGGCGACGAUGCGUAGCCGACCUGAGAGGGUGAUCGGCCACCCUGGAACUGAGACACGGUCCAGACUCCUACGGGAGGCAGCAGUCGGGAAUCUUACGCAAUGGGCGAAAGCUUGACCGAGCAACACCGCGUGAGUGAUGACGGUCUUCGGAUCGUAAAACUAUGUUAUUAGGGGAAAACAAAUGUGUAAGUAACUGUGCACGUCUUGACGGUACCUAAUCAGAAAGCCACGGCUAACUACGUG
rnacentral:rRNA from 1 species